ACAUGUUUACAAGUUAAAAUGU
rnacentral:miRNA from 1 species